rfam:Picea glauca, whole genome shotgun sequence.
GUUCAAACGAGGAAGGGCUUACGUUGGAUACCUAGGCACCUAGAGAUGAGGAAGGGUGUGAUAAGCGAUGAAAUGCUUCGGGGAGUUGAAAAUGAGCAUAGAUACGGAGAUUCCCAAACAGGUUAACCUUUUUAACUAUUGUUGAAUCCAUGGGCAGGCAAGAGACAACCUAGAGAACUGAAACAUCUUAUUAGCUAGAGGAAUAGAAAGAAAAAGUGAUUCCCGUAGUAGUGGUGAGAAAAAUGGGAGCAUCCUAAACCAUGAAAAUGGGGUUGUGGGAGAUCACAAUAUAAGCUAUGUGUUGCUAGGCGAAGCGGUUGAGUCUUGCACCCUAGAUGGUGAGAUUCCAUUAGCCAAAAGAUUCAUUGGGUUACACUCUAACACGAGUAUCAUGGGGCACAUGGAAUCCUGUGUGAAUCAGCAAGGACCACCUUGCAAGGCUAAAUACUCCCGAGUGACCAAUAGCAAAGUAAUACCAUGAGAGAAAGGUGAAAAGAACCCCCAUCAGGGAGUGAAAUAGAAUAUGAAACCGUAAGAUCCCAAGCAGUGGGAGGAAAAUGAUAUCUCUGACCGCGUGCUUGUUGACUAAUGAGUCGACGACUUAUAGGAAGUGGCUUGGUUAAGGGAACCCACCGAAGCCAUAGCGAGAGUGAGUCUUCAUGCAUCAAUUGUCAUUUCUUAUGGACCCAAACCUAGGUGAUCUAUCCAUGACCAGGAUGAAGCUUGGAUGAAACUAAGUGGAGGUAUGAACUGACUGAUGUUGAAACAUCAGUGAAUGAGUCGUGGUUAGGGGUGAAAUGACACUCGAACCCAGAUCUAGCUUGAUCUCCCUAAAAUGUGUUGAGGUGUAGCAGUUGAUUGAACCAUCUAGGGGUAAAGAACUGUUUCAGUAUGGGCCACGAGAGCGGUACCAAAUCGAGGAAAAAUCUGAAUACUAUAUUUCCCCAAUAAAAGGGGUAAAGGUCAGCCAGUGAGACAAUGGAGGAAAAGCUUCAUCAUCGAGAGGGAAACAGCCCAGAUCAUCAGCUAAGGCCCCUAAAUGACAGCUCAGUGAUGAAGGAAGUAUGAGUGCAAAGACAGCUAGGGGGUUUGCCUAGAAGCACCCAACCUUGAAAGAGUGUGUAAUAUCUCACUGAUCAAGUUCUCUUGCACCGAAGAUGAACAGGACUAAGCAAUCUACCGAAGUUGUGGGAUGUAAAAAUACAUUAGUAGGGGAGAAUUCCACCUCAGAGGGAAGCACCGGCACGAGCAGGUGUGGAUGAAGCGGAAGUGAAAAUGUCAGCUUGAGUAACACAAAUAUUGGUGAGAAUCCAAUGCCCUGAAAACCUAAGGGUUCCUCUACAAGGUUCAUCCAUGGAGGGUGAGUCAGGGCUAGGUUAAUGUUCCUGUACUACCCAUUGUUGGUCCUGAGGGACAAAGGAGGCUAGGUUAGUCGAAAGAUGGUUAUCGGUUCAAGGACUCAAGGUGAUCCUACUUUUUUUAGGGUAGGAAGGGAUAGAUAAAAUGCCUCAAGCCAAUGUCCGAGUACCAAGCGCUAAAGCAUUGAAGUAACCCAUGUCAUACUCCUAGGAAAAUCUCGAAUGACAUUUAACAAAUGGGUAUCUGUACCCGAAACCAACAUAGGUAGGUAGGUAGAGAAUACCUAGGGGCGCGAGAAAACUAUCUCUAAGGAACUUGGAAAAAUAGCCCUAUAACUUCGGGAGAAGGGGUGCCUCCUCAGGAGGUCACAGUGACUAGGCUCGGGCGAUUGUUUACCAAAAACACAGGUCUCCACAAAGCCGUAAUACCAUGUAUGGGGGUUGACGCCUGCCUGGUGCCGAAAGGUUAAAGAAGUUGGUGACCUGAUGACAGGGAAGCCAGUGACUAAAUCCCCAAUGAACGACGACCGUAACUAUAACUAUCCUAAGGUAGUGAAAUUCCUUAUCGGGUAAUUUCUGACCCGCACGAAAGGCGUAACGAUAUGGGCACUGUCUUGGAGAGAGAUUCAGUGAAAUAAACAUGUCUUUGAAGAUGUAGACUACCUGCACCUAGACAGAAAUACCCUAUGAAGCUUUAUUGUUCCCUGGGAUUGUUUUUGGGUUCUUCUUGCACAGCUUAGGUGGAAGGUGAAGAAGGCUCCCUCUGGGGGGGGCCUAAGCCAUGAGUGAGAUACCACUCUGGAUGAGCUAGAAUUCUAACCUUGUGUUAGGACCUACGGGCCAAGGGACAAUCUCAGGUAGACUAUUUCUAUGGGGUGUAGGCCUCCCAAAAUGUAACAUAGGCGUGCAAAGGUUUCCUCAGGCCAGUCGUAAAUCAGCCCUCAAGUGUAAAGCCAGAAGGGAGCUUGACUGCAAGGCCCACCCAUCGAUCAAGGAUGAAAGUCGGCCUUAGUGAUCCGACGGUGCCAAGUGGAAGGGUCAUCGCUCAACGGAUAAAAGUUACUCUAGGGAUAACAGGUUGAUCUUCCCCAAGAGUUCACAUCAAUGGGAAGGUUUGGCACCUCGAUGUCAGCUCUUUUCCAUCUGGGGUAGUAGUACAUUCCAAGGGUUGGGUUGUUCUCCCAUUAAAGUGGUACUUGAUUUUGGUUCAAAACAUCGUGAGACAUUUCAGUCCAUAUUCGGUGCAGGCGUUAGAGAAUUGAGAGGACCUUUCCCUAGUACGAGAGGACCGGGAAGGACACACCUCUGGUGUACCAAUUAUCAUGCCCAUGGUAGAUGCUGGGUGGCCAAGUGCAGAGUGGAUAACUAUUGAAAGCAUAUAAUUAGGAAGCCCACCCCAAGAUGAGUUCUCUCCUAUUCUUACUUCCCUGAGAGCCCUAGUCGUGAAAAUGGUUGGGACAACGACGGGUUAUCUAUCCUUGCAGGGGAUGGAGCGACAAAAUUAUUGAGAAUCCAAGAUAAGGUCAUGGAAAGACGAUUCAUUUAUCAUUGCGAUAGGUUUCAAGUGGAAGUGCAGUGAUGUAUGUAGUUGAGGCAUCCUAACAGACUGAGAGAUUUGAACCU